rnacentral:rRNA from 1 species
ACCUACGGGGCGCAGCAGUAGGGAAUCUUCCACAAUGGGCGAAAGCCUGAUGGAGCAACGCCGCGUGGGUGAAGAAGGUCUUCGGAUCGUAAAACCCUGUUGUUAGAGAAGAAAGUGCGUGAGAGUCACUGUUCACGUUUCGACGUUCUCUAACCAGAAAGCCACGGCUAACUCCGUGCCAGCAGCCGCGGUACUACGUAGCUGGCAAGCGUUCUCCGGAUUUAUUGGCCGGAAUGGGAACUCAGGC